AGAUUAUAGCUACUGCGUACAAAGUUCCUCCUUAUGUGCGUAGUCAUAGUCAUAGCAUUCUCUGCAAGGGUAUAUUAGAAAAAGCUUUUCAGCAAAUGCAAAUUGCCGACGCAGCGCAGGCAGCAAAGGCAGACAAUAAAUAACUACGAGAGCGACGGCUGUGACGUUAAGUAGCUUAGUGCAAAUGGACAAGCAUAAAUUCGUCUUAUUGCCCAGACCCAGACCCCCGCGCUGGCACAAGUCGUGCCAAAAAAAUACACAGCAAUACAACAACAACAAAAGAGUGUAAGGUGGGUUGCGGUAGGCGAAGCUUCAGAUACCCUGCAUCUGGAAUUACACACCGAAAAUCGUGACACAACUUUCAUACGUUUCGCGGAGAUAUAAGUUCAUAAGUUUGUAGAAGUUCAGAGGUCGAAGGGUACUUUACCAUUCCAGGGUACGGAUGUGCGGUGAAAUUGUGUAGCCUGCGUUUUGUUGUUGCCGUGCACAAAUGUACAUACAUAACAUUAUUGUUAUUAUUGUUGUUCAUUAACGUCAACACUGCUACGCUCAAGUCGUUUGUAUGCAUGUGGCUUUGUAUAUGUACUGGCCGUUUUGGUUUGGUCAAAAUAUUUUUGGUAUAAUGAAAU